rnacentral:tRNA from 1 species
CAUCAGAUAUCUUAAGUAAGAGUUGAUCUCUUAAAUCAAUAAAUAAUAAAUUAACAUCUAUUUCUGAUGA